rnacentral:snRNA from 1 species
GUACUCGCUUCAGCAGCACAUAUACUAAAAUUGGAAUGAUACAGAGAAGAUUAGCAUGGUCCCUGCACAAGGAUGACAGGAGUGAUGAAAUAAAUUUGUGAAGCGUUC